rnacentral:rRNA from 1 species
GACGAGCGCUGGCGGCGUGCUUAACACAUGCAAGUCGAACGGAAAGGCCCUGCUUUUGUGGGGUGCUCGAGUGGCGAACGGGUGAGUAACACGUGAGUAACCUGCCCUUGACUUUGGGAUAACUUCAGGAAACUGGGGCUAAUACCGGAUAGGAGCUCCUGCUGCAUGGUGGGGGUUGGAAAGUUUCGGCGGUUGGGGAUGGACUCGCGGCUUAUCAGCUUGUUGGUGGGGUAGUGGCUUACCAAGGCUUUGACGGGUAGCCGGCCUGAGAGGGUGACCGGCCACAUUGGGACUGAGAUACGGCCCAGACUCCUACGGGAGGCAGCAGUGGGGAAUAUUGCACAAUGGGCGGAAGCCUGAUGCAGCAACGCCGCGUGCGGGAUGACGGCCUUCGGGUUGUAAACCGCUUUCGCCUGUGACGAAGCGUAAGUGACGGUAAUGGGUAAAGAAGCACCGGCUAACUACGUG